UACGUAGGGUGCGAGCGUUAAUCGGAAUUACUGGGCGUAAAGCGUGCGCAGGCGGCGCGUUAAGACAGGUGUGAAAGCCCCGAGCUUAACUUGGGAAUUGCGCUUGUGACUGGCGUGCUGGAGUGUGGCAGAGGGAGGUGGAAUUCCACGUGUAGCAGUGAAAUGCGUAGAGAUGUGGAGGAACACCGAUGGCGAAGGCAGCCUCCUGGGCCAGCACUGACGCUCAUGCACGAAAGCGUGGGGAGCAAACAGGAUUAGAACGUACCGUC
rnacentral:rRNA from 1 species